rnacentral:misc_RNA from 1 species
CCUAAGGCAUUGCCUUCGGCACUGCACUGCUUCGCCCCGAGUAUUAUUAUGACGUCAUUUGCCUCACAGUUGAAUAGCAUUGUAUUAUGUUUUCACUCAACCUGGGUGCACAGACGUAAAAUUUAUUGAACGAAAAAAUGUCCGGACGAAAAUAUGUACAGACGAAAAAAUAUACGAACGAAAAAAUGUCCGGACGAAAAAAUGUACAGACGAAAAAAUGUACAGACGAAAAAAUGCACAGACGAAAAAAUGUACAGACGAAAAAAUGCGAGACGAAAAAAAGUCGGACGAAUAUCUGCGGACGAAAAACUGUCCGACGAAAAAAUGUCAGACGAAAUUUUGUCCGGACACGAUUAUAAGAAACAUACAUAGUGUCAUACAUAGUGUCUGUCAUAGUGUUUUUAUAUACCUUGAUAAGAAAUAAAUUGCCCAUAAGAUAAAUUGAGUUCGCUAUCACAAUAAAUUGAAAACUAGAUCUGCGGGAGCGCAGCAAGACAAGUGUCUGGUGCUCCUGAAAACGCAGCCAUGGCGGAAAACUCUGUGGCGAGUCCUGCCUCACUGAGCACCGUCGCCGAAACAAAUACAUCGACCGAGAAAACAGGGCAGGAAGUGGCACCGGCAGCAGAGGUCACAGAGGCGGUGCCGACAACUGAAACUGAUCUGUUUGGGAACGGAGCGUGCAAGGCCAGUGAACUCAGUGCUCAGAAUGAUGCAGCUCAGUGUGAUAUGGACUCAGGAAAGGCCGACUCUGCAGAUGGGAGUCCGACUGAGGGCUCGGCUACUCAGACUGACUCUGCCGGUGGCGAGCAGCAGCUCUCGAAGAACCAGCUCCGCAAGCUACGCUACCGCGAGCGACAGGUGGCGGCGCGGCGCGCGCGGCGCUCCGAGGAGAAGCGCCGCCGCCGGGAGCGGGACGCGGCUGCGCAGUCCGCCGCCGCUGCCGCCGGUCAGAUGAUCUCCAAACGGGACCGGCGGCGCGCCGAGCUGGACCGGCUGCGCGCCGCGCGCCAGGACGGCCUGCCCGUGUGUGUGGACCUCCAGUACGGAGACAGGAUGACGGAGAAGGAGCAGUCGCGGCUGGCCACCCAGCUGGGCCGGCUGUACGGCGCUAACCGGUCGGCGGCGCGCCCGCUGCGCCUGCUCCUCACCAGUCUGGCUGAGGACGGGCCGCUGCACCAGCGCUGCCGACGACUCGUCGACGGCUUCGACCGGCUGGAGCUGGAGCGGUGCGCCGAGCCGCCGCACCGGCUGUUCGCCGCCGAGCGGCUGGUGUACCUCUCACCGGACGGUGAGACAGAGCUGAAGCGGCUGGACGAACAGGCCGUGUAUGUGAUCGGAGGAUUGGUCGACGAGACGGUGCAGAGCGGAGUGACCCGCGCGGCCGCCGCCGCCGCCGGAGUCCGCACCGCCCGACUGCCGACGGCCGCCUACCUGCAGCACGAGGCCGGCACGCGAGCCUGUGUGCUCACUGUGAACCAGGUGUUCGAAAUUCUGCUGCGCUUCCGGGAGACGGGUGACUGGACGGCCGCCCUCACCGCCGCCGUCCCCGCCAGGAAAGGAUUCACGCCGAAAAGUGACGAUGCUGCUGCGAAAGGUGACUCGACUGCGGCUGCCAACCCGCCACCUGUUGGCGCAGAGUAGACACUGCAGUACGGGCGGCGGCCGCCAGGGGGCGGAGGUGGACCUGUCUGAGGUGCGGCAACUGCUGGCUCGUCACGGUGGUGGCUCCGUGGAGCUCAGCAUGGACGACGGUACUGGACUGGCCUCCCUCCGGCUGAACCACGUCGAAAAGAAGAACGCCCUUAGUGGCGCAAUGAUGUGUCAGCUGGAGGAGGCAGUCGGCGAGCUCGAACGGUGGCCUCGGGGCCGCGGUCUGUUGCUGCACGCUGAUGGUGAUACCUUCUGCUCGGGCGGUGACCUAGACACGGUUCGCGCCCUCUGCCGGCCGGGCGACGGCGGACGCAUGUCGGCGUUCAUGCAGUCGGCGCUGGCGCGUCUGUCCGACCUGCCGCUGGUCACUGUGGCCGUGGUGUCGGGCCGCGCGCUCGGCGGCGGCGCGGAGCUCACCCUGGCCGCGGAUUUCCGCGUGUGGUCGGCCGCCGGUCAGCUGCGUUUCGUCCAGGCCAGGAUGGGCCUGCUGACGGGGUGGGGCGGCGGCGCGCGGCUGGCCCGCCUCGUGGGACCGCGAGCCGCCCUCGACCUGCUCCUCUCUUGCCGCCCUGUCGGCGCCGAGGACGCCCUCCGGCUGGGUCUGGCCGACGGACCCGUGGUGCCGCCGGACGUGGACCCCCUACAGCACGCGCGCCAGUGGCUGGAAGCCAGGGUGGCACACGAUCCGUCCGUGGUUCGCGCUGUGAAGAAAAUGAUUGUGAACACGCGUGGUGAUCUGACUGACCUCUGGCGGAAGGAGCGUGAACUGUUUGAUCCUCUGUGGGGAGGAGAGGCGAACCGGAGAGCGCUGGGUGAAAAUAUUAAACAUUAGGCCCACGGAAGACGAGCACAGUCACGGGUAGUGUGUAGUGUGUGACCGAGAGAUCUGGAGUGGGGACUGGGAAAUACGGGCGACGACUUAUCUUGCCAAGUACUGUUUCUGUGAGAUGUUUUGAGUGGAAUGAACCGAGAUUGUUGAGGUGCUAUUUUGUGUCGCAUUACAGGGAGCUCUCGUGUGGGAGCUCUCGUGUAAGAUUGCUCGUGAUGUUUUAUUUUGUGCGGUGGCUGUUCGAGCUCAAUGUGCUGUGCUGGAAUACGGUGUAAGUACACCUAUGCCAUAUCGCUGAAUAUACCUUGUGAGUUGUACAAUG